AGCAGCCGCGGUAAUUCCAGCUCCAAUAGCGUAUAUUAAAGUUGUUGCAGUUAAAAAGCUCGUAGUUGAACCUUAGGCCCGUGCGGGUGGUCCGUCCUCAGGGCGAGCACUGCUCCGUCGCGGGUCUCACCUUCUGGCGAGCGUGGAUGCCAUUCAUUUGGUGUCCGCGGGAACCAGGACCUUUACCUUGAAAAAUUAGAGUGCUCAAAGCGGGCUCCGACGCUUGAAUACAUUAGCAUGGAAUAAUGAAAUAGGACGAUGGUUCUAUUUUGUUGGUUUCCGGGACCUUUGUAAUGAUUAAUAGGGAUAGUUGGGGGCAUUCGUAUUCAAUUGUCAGAGGUGAAAUUCUUGGAUUUAUUGAAGACGAACUACUGCGAAAGCAUUUGCCAAGGAUGUUUUCAUUAAUCAAGAACGAAAGUUGGGGGAUCGAAGACGAUCAGAUACCGUCGUAGUCUCAACCAUAAACUAUGCCGACUGGGAAUCGGGCGAUGUUACCUUUUACGACUCGCUCGGCGCCCCG
rnacentral:rRNA from 1 species